rnacentral:rRNA from 1 species
CCCCUUUGUAAUUCUGUGGUCCGAGGGGCUUUGUCYUCUCGCCGUGGUUCUAUGUCUUUACACACACACUGUAAUAAAGUUUUGUGGAAUGCAUGACGCGUUUAACGCAAUACAAUACAACUUUCAGCAACGGAUCUCUUGGCUCUCGCAUCGAUGAAGAACGCAGCGAAAUGCGAUAAGUAAUGUGAAUUGCAGAAUUCAGUGAAUCAUCGAAUCUUUGAACGCACCUUGCGCCCUUUGGCUAUUCCAGAGGGCAUGCCUGUUUGAGUAUCAUGAACACCUCUACUCUCAUGGUUCGCCGUGAUGAGCUUGGACUUUGGGGGUCUUGCCGGCCUGUGGUCGGCUCCUCUCAAAUGAAUCAGCUUGCCAGUCUUUGGUGGCAUCGCAGGUGUGAUAACUAUCUACGCUUUUUGUUUUCCACCGGAACCCUCAGUGAUGGAAGUUCGCUGGAACUCACAAUGUCUUCCCCUCGUGAGACAGCUUCUUGAUGUUUGAUCCCA